rnacentral:rRNA from 1 species
GGGUUGUGAGGUUAAGCGACUAAGCGUACACGGUGGAUGCCCUGGCAGUCAGAGGCGAUGAAGGACGUGCUAAUCUGCGAUAAGCGUCGGUAAGGUGAUAUGAACCGUUAUAACCGGCGAUUUCCGAAUGGGGAAACCCAGUGUGAUUCGUCACACUAUCAUUAACUGAAUCCAUAGGUUAAUGAGGCGAACCGGGGGAACUGAAACAUCUAAGUACCCCGAGGAAAAGAAAUCAACCGAGAUUCCCCCAGUAGCGGCGAGCGAACGGGGAGCAGCCCAGAGCCUGAAUCAGUGUGUGUGUUAGUGGAAGCGUCUGGAAAGGCGCGCGAUACAGGGUGACAGCCCCGUACACAAAAAUGCACAUGCUGUGAGCUCGAUGAGUAGGGCGGGACACGUGGUAUCCUGUCUGAAUAUGGGGGGACCAUCCUCCAAGGCUAAAUACUCCUGACUGACCGAUAGUGAACCAGUACCGUGAGGGAAAGGCGAAAAGAACCCCGGCGAGGGGAGUGAAAAAGAACCUGAAACCGUGUACGUACAAGCAGUGGGAGCACGCUUAGGCGUGUGACUGCGUACCUUUUGUAUAAUGGGUCAGCGACUUAUAUUCUGUAGCAAGGUUAACCGAAUAGGGGAGCCGAAGGGAAACCGAGUCUUAACUGGGCGUUAAGUUGCAGGGUAUAGACCCGAAACCCGGUGAUCUAGCCAUGGGCAGGUUGAAGGUUGGGUAACACUAACUGGAGGACCGAACCGACUAAUGUUGAAAAAUUAGCGGAUGACUUGUGGCUGGGGGUGAAAGGCCAAUCAAACCGGGAGAUAGCUGGUUCUCCCCGAAAGCUAUUUAGGUAGCGCCUCGUGAAUUCAUCUCCGGGGGUAGAGCACUGUUUCGGCAAGGGGGUCAUCCCGACUUACCAACCCGAUGCAAACUGCGAAUACCGGAGAAUGUUAUCACGGGAGACACACGGCGGGUGCUAACGUCCGUCGUGAAGAGGGAAACAACCCAGACCGCCAGCUAAGGUCCCAAAGUCAUGGUUAAGUGGGAAACGAUGUGGGAAGGCCCAGACAGCCAGGAUGUUGGCUUAGAAGCAGCCAUCAUUUAAAGAAAGCGUAAUAGCUCACUGGUCGAGUCGGCCUGCGCGGAAGAUGUAACGGGGCUAAACCAUGCACCGAAGCUGCGGCAGCGACGCUGAUGCGUUGUUGGGUAGGGGAGCGUUCUGUAAGCCUGUGAAGGUGUGCUGUGAGGCAUGCUGGAGGUAUCAGAAGUGCGAAUGCUGACAUAAGUAACGAUAAAGCGGGUGAAAAGCCCGCUCGCCGGAAGACCAAGGGUUCCUGUCCAACGUUAAUCGGGGCAGGGUGAGUCGACCCCUAAGGCGAGGCCGAAAGGCGUAGUCGAUGGGAAACAGGUUAAUAUUCCUGUACUUGGUGUUACUGCGAAGGGGGGACGGAGAAGGCUAUGUUGGCCGGGCGACGGUUGUCCCGGUUUAAGCGUGUAGGCUGGUUUUCCAGGCAAAUCCGGAAAAUCAAGGCUGAGGCGUGAUGACGAGGCACUACGGUGCUGAAGCAACAAAUGCCCUGCUUCCAGGAAAAGCCUCUAAGCAUCAGGUAACAUCAAAUCGUACCCCAAACCGACACAGGUGGUCAGGUAGAGAAUACCAAGGCGCUUGAGAGAACUCGGGUGAAGGAACUAGGCAAAAUGGUGCCGUAACUUCGGGAGAAGGCACGCUGAUAUGUAGGUGAAGUCCCUCGCGGAUGGAGCUGAAAUCAGUCGAAGAUACCAGCUGGCUGCAACUGUUUAUUAAAAACACAGCACUGUGCAAACACGAAAGUGGACGUAUACGGUGUGACGCCUGCCCGGUGCCGGAAGGUUAAUUGAUGGGGUCAGCGCAAGCGAAGCUCUUGAUCGAAGCCCCGGUAAACGGCGGCCGUAACUAUAACGGUCCUAAGGUAGCGAAAUUCCUUGUCGGGUAAGUUCCGACCUGCACGAAUGGCGUAAUGAUGGCCAGGCUGUCUCCACCCGAGACUCAGUGAAAUUGAACUCGCUGUGAAGAUGCAGUGUACCCGCGGCAAGACGGAAAGACCCCGUGAACCUUUACUAUAGCUUGACACUGAACAUUGAGCCUUGAUGUGUAGGAUAGGUGGGAGGCUUUGAAGUGUGGACGCCAGUCUGCAUGGAGCCGGCCUUGAAAUACCACCCUUUAAUGUUUGAUGUUCUAACGUUGACCCGUAAUCCGGGUUGCGGACAGUGUCUGGUGGGUAGUUUGACUGGGGCGGUCUCCUCCUAAAGAGUAACGGAGGAGCACGAAGGUUGGCUAAUCCUGGUCGGACAUCAGGAGGUUAGUGCAAUGGCAUAAGCCAGCUUGACUGCGAGCGUGACGGCGCGAGCAGGUGCGAAAGCAGGUCAUAGUGAUCCGGUGGUUCUGAAUGGAAGGGCCAUCGCUCAACGGAUAAAAGGUACUCCGGGGAUAACAGGCUGAUACCGCCCAAGAGUUCAUAUCGACGGCGGUGUUUGGCACCUCGAUGUCGGCUCAUCACAUCCUGGGGCUGAAGUAGGUCCCAAGGGUAUGGCUGUUCGCCAUUUAAAGUGGUACGCGAGCUGGGUUUAGAACGUCGUGAGACAGUUCGGUCCCUAUCUGCCGUGGGCGCUGGAGAACUGAGGGGGGCUGCUCCUAGUACGAGAGGACCGGAGUGGACGCAUCACUGGUGUUCGGGUUGUCAUGCCAAUGGCACUGCCCGGUAGCUAAAUGCGGAAGAGAUAAGUGCUGAAAGCAUCUAAGCACGAAACUUGCCCCGAGAUGAGUUCUCCCUGACUCCUUGAGAGUCCUGAAGGAACGUUGAAGACGACGACGUUGAUAGGCCGGGUGUGUAAGCGCAGCGAUGCGUUGAGCUAACCGGUACUAAUGAACCGUGAGGCUUAACCUUACAACGCCGAAG